rnacentral:rRNA from 1 species
AUUGAACGCUGGCGGCAGGCCUAACACAUGCAAGUCGAACGGUAACAGGAAGAAGCUUGCUUCUUUGCUGACGAGUGGCGGACGGGUGAGUAUUUUCGGGGAACCGGCCUAUUGGAGGGGGUUACCUCCUGAAAACGGUGGCUAAUCCCCCAUACCUUGCCAAAACCAAGAGGGGGGCCUUUCGGGCCUCUGGCAAUCGGUGUGGCCAGAUGGGAUUAGCUAGUAGGUGGGGUAACGGCUCACCUAGGCGACGAUCCCUAGCUGGUCUGAGAGGAUGACCAGCCACACUGGAACUGAGACACGGUCCAGACUCCUACGGGAGGCAGCAGUGGGGAAUAUUGCACAAUGGGCGCAAGCCUGAUGCAGCCAUGCCGCGUGUAUGAAGAAGGCCUUCGGGUUGUAAAGUACUUUCAGCGGGGAGGAAGGGAGUAAAGUUAAUACCUUUGCUCAUUGACGUUACCCGCAGAAGAAGCACCGGCUAACUCCGUG